AUUGAACGCUGGCGGCAGGCCUAACACAUGCAAGUCGAGCGGAUGAAGGGAGCUUGCUCCUGGAUUCAGCGGCGGACGGGUGAGUAAUGCCUAGGAAUCUGCCUGGUAGUGGGGGAUAACGUCCGGAAACGGGCGCUAAUACCGCAUACGUCCUGAGGGAGAAAGUGGGGGAUCUUCGGACCUCACGCUAUCAGAUGAGCCUAGGUCGGAUUAGCUAGUUGGUGGGGUAAAGGCCUACAAAGGCGACGAUCCGUAACUGGUCUGAGAGGAUGAUCAGUCACACUGGAACUGAGACACGGUCCAGACUCCUACGGGAGGCAGCAGCGGGGAAUAUUGGACAAUGGGCGAAAGCCUGAUCCAGCCAUGCCGCGUGUGUGAAGAAGGUCUUCGGAUUGUAAAGCACUUUAAGUUGGGAGGAAGGGCAGUAAGUUAAUACCUUGCUGUUUUGACGUUACCAACAGAAUAAGCACCGGCUAACUUCGUG
rnacentral:rRNA from 1 species